rnacentral:rRNA from 1 species
GACGAACGCUGGCGGCGUGCUUAACACAUGCAAGUCGAACGGAAAGGCCUGCUUUCCCUUGUGGAUUGCGGGUACUCGAGUGGCGAACGGGUGAGUAACACGUGAGUGAUCUGCCCCCAACUUGGGUAUAAGCCUGGGAAACUGGGUCUAAUUCCCGAUAGGACUGCAGGGUGGUGCCUGUGGUGGAAAACGAUUUUCUAGUGGUUGGGGAUGAGCUCGCGGCCUAUCAGCUUGUUGGUGGGGUAAUGGCCUACCAAGGCGGGGACGGGUAGCCGGCCUGAGAGGGUGGACGGCGACAUUGGGACUGAGACACGGCCCAGACGCCGACGGGAGGCAGGAGUGGGGAAUAUAGCACAAUGGGCGGAAGCCUGAUGCAGCGAGGGAGCGUGGGGGAUGACGGCCUUGGGGUUGUAAACUCCUUUCGACCGCGAGGAAGCCACCUGGUUGGAAGGGUGGUGAUGGUAGUGGUAGAAGAAGCACCGGCUAACUACGUG